UACGUAGGGUGCAAGCGUUAUCCGGAAUUAUUGGGCGUAAAGAGCUCGUAGGCGGUUUGUCGCGUCUGCUGUGAAAACUGGAGGCUCAACCUCCAGCCUGCAGUGGGUACGGGCAGACUAGAGUGCGGUAGGGGAGAUUGGAAUUCCUGGUGUAGCGGUGGAAUGCGCAGAUAUCAGGAGGAACACCGAUGGCGAAGGCUGAUCUCUGGGCCGUAACUGACGCUGAGGAGCGAAAGCAUGGGGAGCGAACAGG
rnacentral:rRNA from 1 species